UGCUCAAAGGACGCCAGCUUAGUUUUGAUUCCAUUAGAGAAAAAAAGUUUGAGCCAAUCAGAUUAAGGCCAGACUCGACACUGAAUUGUCAAUUCUUUGUCCAAAUAAACCCCAAACGGGUGAGGCCAGGUUGAGUCUGGCAAGGUAUAUCUUAUCUUAUCUUACCCUCCUACAAAUAGUGACAUUUACAAGUAAGUAUUUCAAGUAGAAUAAAAAAAAUACUUCAGUCUUUAGUUGAACCUCAAAAGAAAGUUUAUACGGAACGGUAGGCCUACUCCAAGGCUGGAUCAACUCCGAGGAGAGCUAAAGGAAAAGCUACCUUCACCGUUACCUAUAAAAAAAGAUCAACCAUGUGUUGGUUGAUAAGCCCCCCCAGCCCCAAGGUGUUUACAGUACCUGACAGGGGCGCAGUUUGUCUGUUUUUACAGAUUUAAUAGUCUUUUAAGCAAUAGAGGUUGAAGGAUUGAGGGUGGCGAAGUUGAGCAGUUAGGCAGAGGAGCAGAAGUAAGGCAGCGUGCGUUGGGCAAUGGUUUCGUGCCUGAGUUCUAGGCUUGGGCUGAGUUCCAGGACUGCCCGCUUAUACCUGGCACUGCCUGCCUCAGAAACAGCAAAACGAUCAGAGAGAGCAAAAUCACCGGAAAAGAUCCAAACAAAGUCAAAGAAGAAACUGGCCGAGUGUUAAACCACGGUCGAAACUGAACAAUCUGGCCGAAUACCACGACCCGGAGAGUGAGCCCGACUCCGAGCCUUACGACGACUCCUUCGAGAGCAUGGAGCUCGCUGUUGGCGAGUGGAAGAGUCUUAUCCACAUGGAGAUCGUGACCUUCGACCCCGACAAUCCCAGUAAAACAGCAAUGUAGGAUGCUGCGAUGUGCUGGCGACUCCCAGUGUUUGGUGUGAUACCUACACAUCGUGCCGUAAAGGUCAACCACAUCUCAGAGAGACAAAUACAUAAUUUUACCCUGUUCUCUUUAGUUCCUCUGACAUUUCUCGCAGCUAAAAUGCAUUUUACUAGGCGAAUGAAUUUCUAUCUGUUUCACAGCAAGCAUGUAAACUUGAAUAUUAAAAUCGUUUUUCACGAGG